GCUCGUUUAGCUUAGUCGGUAGAGCGCAAGGCUCUUAACCUUGAGGUCGUGGGUUAUGGUGGGCG
rnacentral:tRNA from 1 species